rnacentral:misc_RNA from 1 species
GCUUGUUAAAGUUUCGAUCACUCCCAGACGCGACGCCCUCUGUUGAACGAGUGUCUUGCUGUCAAGCUAGCUGUUGCAUUCCUUCACGAAGCUCAUCGUUCAAAUUCUGUGUAUGUUUGGGGGUGUGGCGAUUGGAGAAUAGUGUUGUGGUGAAAAACCUUGUAGGCGAUUCCAUAGGAAAAAAAAAUGUUGGAGUUUCGUUCA